rnacentral:rRNA from 1 species
UGGGGAAUUUUGGACAAUGGGCGAAAGCCUGAUCCAGCAAUGCCGCGUGUGUGAAGAAGGCCUUCGGGUUGUAAAGCACUUUUGUCCGGAAAGAAAUGGCUCUGGUUAAUACCUGGGGUCGAUGACGGUACCGGAAGAAUAAGGACCGGCUAACUACGGUGCCAGCAGCCGCGGUAAUACGUAGGGUCCAAGCGUUAAUCGGAAUUACUGGGCGUAAAGCGUGCGCAGGCGGUUGUGCAAGACCGAUGUGAAAUCCCCGAGCUUAACUUGGGAAUUGCAUUGGUGACUGCACGGCUAGAGUGUGUCAGAGGGGGGUAGAAUUCCACGUGUAGCAGUGAAAUGCGUAGAGAUGUGGAGGAAUACCGAUGGGCGAAGGCAGCCCCCUGGGAUAACACUGACGCUCAUGCACGAAAGCGUGGGGAGCAAACAGGAUUAGAUACCCUGGUAGUCCACGCCCUAAA